AACAUUAUUAAAGAUGAAUUUUAUCAUUUUAGGUAUUAAAAACCAUGUAUCAUAUUUUGCCUGUAUACAAUAAGGUUUGGAUAAAUUGAAAAUAAUAUUUACAAAUGUACUGUCACACUGUUCUAAGUUAAAAAAAAAUACGUAUUCACAAAUGAAGAUGUAAAGUAUAAACAUUUACCAUAUUAAGCCACAUCUGAGUGCCUAUCCUUUGUUUAAAAGUUGAACAUUUUCUGGCUGGAUGUGGUGGCUUCUGCCUGUAAUCCCAGCACUUUGGGAGGCCAAGGCUGGUGGAUGGCUUGAGGUCAUGAGUUCAAGACCUGCCUGCCCAACAUACUAAAAACCCUUCUCUACUAAAAAUAAAAAAAUUAGCCAGGUAUGGUGGCAUGCAUCUGUUAUCCCAGCUAUCUGGAGGCUGAGGCAGGAGGACUGCUUGAACCCAGGAGGCAGAGGUUGAGUGAGCCAAGAUCACACUAUUGCACUCCAGUCUGGGUGACCACAGCAAAAUUCCAUCUCAAAAAAAAAAAAAAAAAAAAAAAAGUAGAACAUUUUUUAUACCUCCCUGAUCCUAUCUUUCUCUCAAAUGAAACUCACUUACUAAAUUUUAUUGAUUGAUUGAUUGGUUUAUUUUCAGACAGAGCCAUGUUGAUGUCUAUAACUUAUCAUUCAUUUAUUUUGUUUGACCAUACAACACUAAAUAUUAUUUUACUAUAUAUUGCAAAUUACUUCUUCAUUAUGCUGAUAAUGGACAUUUGGGUUGUUUCCAAGGUUUUAUUAUUAUAUAAAUGAUGCUGGCCAGGUGCGGUGGCUCAUGCCUGUAAUCCCAGCACUUUGCAAGGCUGAGGCAGGCAGAUCACAAGGACAGGAGUUCAGGACCAGCCUGGCCAACAUGAUGAAAUUUGGUCUCUAAUAAAAAUACAAAAAUUAGCCAGGAGUGGUGGCAUGCACCUGUAAUCCCAGCUACUCAGGAGGCUGGCACAGGAGAAUUGCUUGAGCCCAGGAGGCAGAGGUUGCAGUUAGCCGAGAUUAUACUGCUGAACUCCAGCCUGGGCAACAGAGCAAGACUCAGUCUCAGAAAAAAAGAAAAAAAAAAUGGGGCCAGACAGGGUGGCUUAUGCCUGUAAUCCCAGGUGGGCAGAUCAUUUGAGGUUGGGAGUUUGAGACCAGCCUGAUUGACCUGGUGAAACCCUGUCUUUACUAAAAAUACAAAAUUAACUGGGCGUGGUGGCACAUGCCUGUAGUCCCAGCUACUUGGGAGGCUGAGGCAAGAGAAUUGCUUGAACCUGGGAGGCACAGGUUGAGGUAAGCUGAGGUCGUGCCGUUGCAUUCCAGCCAGGGCAACAAGAGCGAUACCCUGACUCAAAAAAAAAGAUACUGUGAAAUUCUUGUAUACGUUUCCUGGUACACAUAUAUAAGAUUUUCUCUGAAUAAUAUACCUAUUAGUAGAAUUGCAGAUCAGAGGAUAUAAGCAUAUUUAACUUUACUAGAUAAUGCCAGACUGUUUUCCAAAGCGGUGAAUCAGUAUAUACUCAUCCUAGCAGGAUGUAAGUGUUGCUAUUUCUGUAAUCCCUCCUUUCCAACACUUGUUGCAGUCAUACUUUAUAGUUUUUGUGACUCUGGUGAGUGUAAAGUGGUAGGUCAUUGUGGUUUUAAUUUUUAUUUCCAGGAUUACUGUUGAGGUUGAGCAACUUCUCACAUGUGUUCUUCUGUGUUUUUCUUUGUAAAUAACGUGUUCAAAUCUUUUGCUUGACUUGAUAAUCCACUUUGCUAGCUGUUGCUUUUUUGUGUAUGCAUUUACCUAUACAAUACUUCAUUGAGGUUUUAAAUAUUUUAGCCAUUAUAUUUUUCACUUUUGUAAGUAACAUUUUUUUCAAAUAUGACUGAACAUUUAAAAAAUAUUUUGCAGCUUUUGAUUUCAAAGUAUUUUUUUUUCCAUUUUAUAAUGAUAAUUUUAAAAUGUAAAAGAACUAUGCAAUGGACCAGGCACAGUGGCUUAUACCUGCAAUCUCAGCACUUUGGGAAGCCAAGACAGGAAGGUCACUUCAGGCUAGGAAUUUGAGACCAGCCUGGGCAACAUAGUGAGAACUCGUUUCCAUAAAGAAAUUUUAAAAAUUAGCCAGGUGUAGUGUUAUGUGCCUGUAGUCUCCCUUCAGGAGGCUAAGGUGGAAGAAUUGCUUGAGCCCAGGAGUUUGAGACUGCAGUGAGCUCUGAUUGUGCCAUUGCAUGGGCCAACUGGGCAGGUCCACUUAGACACAAUUUUUAAAAAAUAAAUAUAUUGGAAAAAUUUUAGAGAUUUGCAAUAAUUUGAAAAACAAAUGAACUACAUAGCCUAGAAAUGUUGAAAACAUUGCUAACCCGGGCCCCACAGCCAGCAGAGUUGGCCCCACUCUGUGACCACCGGGGCCUGUGCACCGGAAUCGCCGUGGCCUGUGCACCCUGCCUCACCAGUUUGAACCUCCAUGGCCUCAACCAGAUUUGGAAUGUCAAAAGCAGAGUGUCUAUUUGAGGAAUUUGAGGAAAUCGGGAACUUUGGGCCACUCAGGCUCUCUAGAUGAGACCACCCAUGAAAGACUAGCAGAAGAAACACUAGACUCCUUAGCAGAGUUUUUUGAAGACCUUGCAGACAAGCCAUACAUGUUUUUUAAGGACUAUGAUGUUUUCUUGGGAGUAAACUGCUAAACUGGGUAGAGAUCUAAGAACCUACGUGAUCAAUAAGCAGACGCCAAACAAGCAAAUCGGGUUAUCUUCUCCAUCAGGUGGACGCAAGUGUUAUGACUGGACUGGGAAAAACUGGGUGUACUCCCACGAUGGUGAUGGCAUGUCCCUCCAUGAGCUGCUGGCUCACUAAAGUCUCAAAAACCAAACUGGACUUGUCUUCCUUGGCCUAUUCCAGGAAAGACUCAUGUUGCCUAGCCCAGUUUUAAGGACAUUAAAAGCUGUCAGACAAAGAACCCAGCUUCAUUAUGAAGCUGAGGUCUGUUUUUUUUUUUCAUUCCUGCUUUUGAGGACAGUUGGGCUAUGUGUAACAGCUCUGUGGAAAGAGUGUGUUGCCUCUUACCUUGCCCCCAAGUUCUGAUUUUUAAUUUCUAUGAAAGAUUUUUUUGGAUUCACUGAUUUCCUCCCUCACAUGAUAUCCCUUAUAUUUUAUAAUGUCUUAUGCCUAUACCUAAAUAUAAUAACCUUUAAAAAAGCAAAAUGAUAAGAAGGAAAAAUUCCAGGAG